AUUCUGCCCAUGCGGGGAAGGAUGAGAAGCUUCGACCAAGGUUCGACUCGAGCGCCAGCGAGAGAGCGUUGCCGCAGGCAACGACCCGAAGGGCGAAGCGCGCAGCGCUGAGUAAUCCU
rnacentral:sRNA from 1 species